UUAGAUGAUAGAGACUAAUACGGGUUUCAUUUUGAGGACCUAGAAGAACACCACAGGCAAACCAUAUACCAUUUUCCUGAAUAGUUGCUUUGGGUGAGAACUACUAAUUCCUUCUCAUCAGGCAUUGGUAGGUGCCAUUUCCAGGAUGGAGCCCAAUGCAUGGCUCGAACUCACGCCGCUGAUCUGCUGAGCUGAAGUCAAGGGUCGGAUGCUCAACGGGCUGAGCCGCCCAGGUGGUGACGAUGUGCAUGAUGGGUACAAUUUUUGUGACACAGCAGUUCCCUCCGAACCCACUAACCAGCCACGGAAUGGAUUUUGGAGUGGCACCUGAUAGGUUUGUUUUGGACCCUGGGAGAGAGGAUUAAACCACCAGACACCUUGUGGAGAAUCUUGCUGGAGAUUCAGACCCGAGCAAGAGAGAAGUCCAGGGGUCCAGAUCACGCCUAUUCUCUGCUGACCAUCAGAUAGUAGUCGGGACCUCGUUAUCCGUCAGGACUGCCAAGUGGAACUUUCCCACGCCCAUCUCGGACUAACAAGAGGAUAUGGACUUGGAGUGAUUUCUAGAUGCAGAAUUCGAUUUUUCCACUCAGUAUAAAAAUCUUCGUAGAAGCCAAAAUCUUUAUGAAAAAAGCAAAUCUCAGCGUGGGGCCCGGUCUCGACCUCUUCCCCGGUAAAUGCAAAGGGCUAUAGAAACGGCGUGUUUUGCACCGUCGGCGGGUGCAGUGCUGGGCCCAAGGACCUCGGAGAGGAAGCGCCAUUGGGAGGCUCUCAUUUCUGCCUGGGGAGCAAGGCGCUCAAACUUCACAUAGCCAGAUUUGUGCAUCAUUACAAUGCCUAGCGUGCAGGAGCCCAAUAACAGUUUGUUGAAUGAAAAGAUCUGUUAAAAGA